CCCUCUCAGAGGUGCAUCUUCCUUCCUAAUCCUUCCCCGAGCGGUGUAGUGCUCCAUCGGUCCACCGGUGCAACCGCAACUCAGCAACAGCGUGGGCUUAAACACAGCGCACACUCGACGGCUGCUCGGUUCCUCCGAGCAGCAACGCAUCGCGAAAGAGACAGUGUUCAGUGGUGAGACGUUUGAGAGACUUCGGCGGCCCGCAAGUACCAGGAGCUCGGGAUACAGGAUGAGGUCCUUGCUAGUCCUCCUCGUAAUCGAAGCUGUGUUCCUCACCGGCAGCAAUGCAAGGGUGAGUGGGUAUUCCCUGCAAGUCUCACUGUA